GACAGAGGGUGCAAACGUUGUUCGGAAUUACUGGGCGUAAAGCGCGUGUAGGCUGCUCUGCAAGUCGGAUGUGAAAGCCCUGGGCUCAACCUAGGAAGUGCAUUCGAAACUGCAAAGCUGGAGUCCUGGAGAGGAAGGCGGAAUUCUCGGUGUAGAGGUGAAAUUCGUAGAUAUCGAGAGGAACACCGGUGGCGAAGGCGGCCUUCUGGACAGUGACUGACGCUGAGACGCGAAAGCGUGGGGAGCAAACGGG
rnacentral:rRNA from 1 species